rnacentral:rRNA from 1 species
GACGAAUGCUGGCGGCGUGCCUAAUACAUGCAAGUUGAGCGAUGAAGAUUGGUGCUUGCACCAAUUUGAAGAGCAGCGAACGGGUGAGUAACGCGUGGGGAAUCUGCCUUUGAGCGGGGGACAACAUUUGGAAACGAAUGCUAAUACCGCAUAAUAACUUUAAACAUAAGUUUUAAGUUUGAAAGAUGCAAUUGCAUCACUCAAAGAUGAUCCCGCGUUGUAUUAGCUAGUUGGUGAGGUAAAGGCUCACCAAGGCGAUGAUACAUAGCCGACCUGAGAGGGUGAUCGGCCACAUUGGGACUGAGACACGGCCCAAACUCCUACGGGAGGCAGCAGUAGGGAAUCUUCGGCAAUGGACGAAAGUCUGACCGAGCAACGCCGCGUGAGUGAAGAAGGUUUUCGGAUCGUAAAACUCUGUUGGUAGAGAAGAACGUUGGUGAGAGUGGAAAGCUCAUCAAGUGACGGUAACUACCCAGAAAGGGACGGCUAACUACGUG